AUUGAACGCUGGCGGCAUGCCUAACACAUGCAAGUCGAACGGCAGCACGGCAGUAGCAAUACUGUGGGUGGCGAGUGGCGGACGGGUGAGGAAUACGUCGGAAUCUGCCCAGUCGUGGAGGAUAACUAGCCGAAAGGUUAGCUAAUACCGCAUACGACCGAGAGGUGAAAGCGGGGGACCGCAAGGCCUCGCGCGAUUGGAUGAGCCGACGUCGGAUUAGCUAGUUGGUGGGGUAAAGGCCCACCAAGGCGACGAUCCGUAGCUGGUCUGAGAGGAUGAUCAGCCACACUGGAACUGAGACACGGUCCAGACUCCUACGGGAGGCAGCAGUGGGGAAUAUUGGACAAUGGGCGCAAGCCUGAUCCAGCAAUGCCGCGUGUGUGAGAAGGCCUCGGUUGUAAG
rnacentral:rRNA from 1 species